rnacentral:rRNA from 1 species
UACGUAGGGGGCAAGCGUUGUCCGGAAUCACUGGGCGUAAAGCGCGCGCAGGCGGUCAUCUACGUCUGGGGUGAAAGCCCGGAGCUCAACUCCGGGAUUGCCUUGGAUACGGGAUGACUUGAGGAUCGGAGAGGCAAGGGGAAUUCCACGUGUAGCGGUGAAAUGCGUAGAGAUGUGGAGGAACACCGAUGGCGAAGGCAGCCCCCUGGGCUAACACUGACGCUCAUGCACGAAAGCGUGGGGAGCAAACAGG